rnacentral:rRNA from 1 species
AACGAACGCUGGCGGCAGGCUUAACACAUGCAAGUCGAGCGCCCCGCAAGGGGAGCGGCAGACGGGUGAGUAACGCGUGGGAAUCUACCCAUCUCUACGGAAUAACGCAUGGAAACGUGUGCUAAUACCGUAUACGUCCUUCGGGAGAAAGAUUUAUCGGAGAUGGAUGAGCCCGCGUUGGAUUAGCUAGUUGGUGGGGUAAAGGCCUACCAAGGCGACGAUCCAUAGCUGGUCUGAGAGGAUGAUCAGCCACACUGGAACUGAGACACGGCCCAGACUCCUACGGGAGGCAGCAGUGGGGAAUAUUGGACAAUGGGCGCAAGCCUGAUCCAGCCAUGCCGCGUGAGUGAUGAAGGCCCUAGGGUUGUAAAGCUCUUUCACCGGUGAAGAUAAUGACGGUAACCGGAGAAGAAGCCCCGGCUAACUUCGUGCCAGCCGCCGCGGUAA